AAAACUAAGCAAAAGAAAGUGGCGGCUGGAAUGAAGCUGAAUGGGCAUCACACCUUCACUCCUUUCUAAAAGAAAAUCAAAUGAUAAUAAAAGAUGUUUCUUUUUUCCAAGUAAAGAUAAAAAAAAAAGAAAGAAAAAUCACCACUGCACCACAAUAUUAAAAGCAAGGAAUUGAGAUUGAUGAGCGUGAUUCAGCAAAGAAAAAUCACAAUAUUAAAAGCAAGGAAUUGAAAGAGAACACCGCUGCACCACAUGUUUCCAUUGCCUUCCA
rnacentral:lncRNA from 1 species